GAUGAACGCUGACAGAAUGCUUAACACAUGCAAGUCUUUGGCGAAGCUGUGCUUGCACAGCCUAGCCAAGGCGGAUGGGUGAGUAACGCGUAAGGGACUUGCCCUGCAGUCAGGGAUAACAGACGGAAACGACUGAUAAGACCUGGUAAAGCCAGGCGGACUCAUGUCCAGCCUGAUGAAAAGGAAUGCUGCAGGAGAGCCUUGCGUCCUAUUAGCUUGUUGGUGGGGUAACGGCCCACCAAGGCGAUGAUAGGUAGCCGGCCUGAGAGGGUGGACGGCCACAAGGGGACUGAGAUACGGCCCUUACUCCUACGGGAGGCAGCAGUGGGGAAUAUUGGACAAUGGGGGCAACCCUGAUCCAGCAAUUCUGUGUGCACGAUGAAGGUCUUCGGAUUGUAAAGUGCUUUCAGCAGGGAAGAAAA
rnacentral:rRNA from 1 species